rnacentral:rRNA from 1 species
UACGUAGGGGCCUAGCGUUGUCCGGAUUUAUUGGGCGUAAAGAGCUCGUAGGCGGUUCGGUAAGUCGGAUGUGAAAUCUCCACGCUCAACGUGGAGGGGCCAUUCGAUACUGCCGUGACUCGAGUCCGGUAGGGGAGUGUGGAAUUCCUGGUGUAGCGGUGAAAUGCGCAGAUAUCAGGAGGAACACCGGUGGCGAAGGCGCCACUCUGGGCCGAAACUGACGCUGAGGAGCGAAAGCGUGGGUAGCAAACAGG